AAAUUAAAGGAAAUUGGCGGGGGAGCACUACAACGGGUGGAGCCUGCGGUUUAAUUGGAACUCAACGCCGGAAAACUCACCGGGGGCGGCAGCAAUAUGUAGGUCAAGCUAAAGACUUUACCAGAAUCGCUGAGAGGAGGUGCAUGGCCGUCGUCAGUUCGUACUGUGAAGCAUCCUGUUAAGUCAGGCAACGAGCGAGACCCGUGCCCACUGUUGCCAGCAUGUCCUUCGGGAUGAUGGGUACUCUGUGGGGACCGCCGAUGCUAAAUCGGAGGAAGGUGCGGGCUACGGUAGGUCAGUAUGCCCCGAAUCUCCCGGGCUACAUGCGGGCUACAAUGGUUGGUACAAUGGGCAUCUACCCCGAAAGGGGAAGGAAAUCUCUUAAAGCCAAUCGUAGUUCGGAUUGAGGGCUGCAACUCGCCCUCAUGAAGCUGGAAUCCGUAGUAAUCGCGUUUCAACAGAACGCGGUGAAUACGUCCCUGCUCCUUGCACACACCGCCCGUCAAACCACCCGAGUAGGGUCCGGAUGAGGGUGUAUUAUAUUGAUACAUUCGAAUCUGGGCUUUGCAAGGGGGGUUAAGUCGUAACAAGGUAACCAAGGGCGAAUUCCAGC
rnacentral:rRNA from 1 species